rnacentral:sRNA from 1 species
CCUGAAGCGGGUGACGUUCGGCGGAACCAGACCGUUAGACUCCAGGAAUCAAGUCUUUCCGGAGUUCCCCGGUACGAGCCGGGGAACUUCAGUCAGCAGCCGCUGCAACCCCAGGGAG